rnacentral:lncRNA from 1 species
GCAUGUCAGCUGUCGCUUUCUACAGCUAGGGCAAUGGAAGCCAAAGUUAGCUUCAGGGGGCACUUCUAAGUAAGGUGACUUUGGCCGCUGCUAAAUGUGUAUAUGAUACAGCUCCACUGGGUUAAGAAGCUGUUUCUGAUUUUAGUAAACUCACACUACAAAUAUGUAUUUCAUGAGGUGCAGAUUACAAGGUACAUUUAAACUCACUUCAGCAAACUGAGUUCUCGACCACACACUUGUGGGUCUGGUGCUGAAGAAAUGA